rnacentral:tRNA from 1 species
GCCCUUGUGGUGCAAAGGGUGAGUGCGCUCGGCUGCUAACCCAAAGGCUGGAGGUUUGAGUCCACCCAGAGGCA